GAUGAACGCUAGCGACAGGCCUAACACAUGCAAGUCGAGGGGCAGCACAAGGAGCAAUCUGAGGUGGCGACCGGCGCACGGGUGAGUAACACGUAUGCAACCUGCCUGUAAGCGGGGGAUAACCCGUUGAAAGACGGACUAAUACCGCAUAAUACUGGAGAUCUGCAUGGAUAUUCAGUUAAACAUUUAUGGCUUACAGAUGGGCAUGCGCAUGAUUAGAUAGUUGGAGAGGUAACGGCUCCCCAAGUCAACGAUCAUUAGGGGUUCUGAGAGGAAGGUCCCCCACACUGGUACUGAGACACGGACCAGACUCCUACGGGAGGCAGCAGUGAGGAAUAUUGGUCAAUGGGCGAGAGCCUGAACCAGCCAAGUCGCGUGAGUG
rnacentral:rRNA from 1 species